rnacentral:tRNA from 1 species
UGGGGCUGUGGCUCAGCGGUAGAGCACUUGCCUAGCACGUGUGAGGCCCUGGGUUCGAUCCUCAGCACCACAA